GACGAACGCUGGCGGCGUGCUUAACACAUGCAAGUCGAACGGAAAGGCCCUGCUUUUGUGGGGUGCUCGAGUGGCGAACGGGGGAGUAACACGUGAGUAACCUGCCCUUGACUGUGGGAUAACUUCAGGAAACUGGGGCUAAUACCGGAUAGGGGCUCCUGCUGCAUGGGGGGGGUUGGAAAGUUUCGGCGGUUGGGGAUGGACUCGCGGCUUAUCAGCUUGUUGGUGGGGUAGUGGCGUACCAAGGCUUUGACGGGUAGCCGGCCUGAGAGGGUGACCGGCCACCUUGGGCCUGCGGUACGGCCCAGACUCCUACGGGAGGCAGCAGUGGGGAAUAUUGCACAACGGGCGCAAGCCUGAUGCAGCAACGCCGCGUGCGGGAUGACGGCCUUCUGGUUGUAAACCGCUUUCGCCUGUGACGAAGCGUGAGUGACGGUAAUGGGUAAAGAAGCACCGGCUAACUACGUG
rnacentral:rRNA from 1 species